ensembl:lncRNA
CUAACAUCUAACAUUGGCUUCUUUUGCAUCCCAGAGGCUUCAUUUGGUACCUGGCACUACUCCCAUGGAAGUCAACUGGAAGAGGCCAACAGACUUCCCUGAAAGAUGGGGGUUACUACUGCUGCAGGUCUUCAUAGACACUCAAGCAGUGAAUUCUAAUGAUUCCAUUUGCAACUGGAAGAAACAAGACAAGAAAGUCUGAAAAAGCCCUCCAGGAGGCCCCUGGUACCAAUGGCACACAAACCAUCCUGCAAGCCCUUUGACUAAAGC